rnacentral:rRNA from 1 species
GUGAGGAAUAUUGCGCAAUGGAGGCAACUCUGACGCAGCCAUGCCGCGUGCAGGAAGAAGGCGCUACGCGUUGUAAACUGCUUUUAACCGGGAAGAAACCCCAGGACGUGUCCUGGGUUGACGGUACCGGAGGAAUAAGCACCGGCUAACUUCGUGCCAGCAGCCGCGGUAAUAAGAAGGGUGCAAGCGUUAUCCGGAUCCAUUGGGUUUAAAGGGUGCGUAGGCGGAGCGUUGAGUCAGUGGUGAACUCCUGCAGCUUAACUGUAGACUUGCCAUUGAUACUGGCGCUCUUGAGUGCGCUUGAAGUGGGCGGCAUGUGCCGUGUAGCGGUGAAAUGCUUAGAUAUGGCACAGAACACCAAUUGCGAAGGCAGCUCACUAAGGCGAUACUGACGCUGAGGCACGAAAGCGUGGGGAUCGAACAGGAUUAGAAACCCCUGUAGUCC